rnacentral:tRNA from 1 species
GCCCGGGUGGUGGAAUUGGUAGACACGCAGGACUUAAAAUCCUGUGGCUAGUAAUAGUCGUGCGGGUUCAACUCCCGCCCCGGGUA